CUCAAACGCUGUCCUCAUUUUGGCCAGGACUGAUGGAAGGCCAGAUCCCAAAGAUCCCUGAAGACAGGAACAGUCUUUCAUCUUCAGCAUCGAGCCUGAUGCCUGGCACACGGUAGCGACAAUUACCAAUGGCUAAUCAGAGAAGAUGAGACUUAGAAACCAGUCAACAAAUGGAAAGGAAAUGGGGAAUCAUGAAUUGAGAUAAAAUAAAUCUUGUCAGGAUGAAGGUAAGUGAGAGAGGGAAAAUAUACCAUGAACAACGAAGGGAUGCCUUAUUUCUAGGAAUGUCAUAAAAAUAAAUUGGAUAUAACGGAAAUCCCAAAGAGCCCAUAAGUGCUUCUAUUUCCUUCCAGCACUAAGCUAA
rnacentral:lncRNA from 1 species